AAUAGAUACCCAGGUAGUCCAUGCCGUAAACGGUGGGCGCUAGGUGUGGGGGUCUUCCACGACUUCUGUGCCGUAGCUAACGCAUUAAGCGCCCCGCCUGGGGAGUACGGCCGCAAGGCUAAAACUCAAAGGAAUUGACGGGGGCCCGCACAAGCGGCGGAGCAUGUGGAUUAAUUCGAUGCAACGCGAAGAACCUUACCUGGGCUUGACAUACGCCGGAUCGCCGCAGAGAUGUGGUUUCCCUUGUGGCCGGUGUACAGGUGGUGCAUGGUUGUCGUCAGCUCGUGUCGUGAGAUGUUGGGUUAAGUCCCGCAACGAGCGCAACCCUUGUCUUGUGUUGCCAGCACGUUAUGGUGGGGACUCGCGAGAGACUGCCGGGGUUAACUCGGAGGAAGGUGGGGAUGACGUCAAAUCAUCAUGCCCCUUAUGUCCAGGGCUUCACACAUGCUACAAUGGUCGGUACAGUGGGUUGCGAUGCCGUGAGGUGGAGCUAAUCCCUUAAAGCCGGUCUCAGUUCGGAUUGGAGU
rnacentral:rRNA from 1 species